GGAGGCUGAGACAAGAGGGGUCAGGAGACACUGUGGCCCCAUCCGACGAUACUCCUGGACAGGGCCAACCGAGCAGAAUAAAACCCCACCCACCUUGCCAAAGUACAGCCCCCACACCACAAUAACAUCUGCUAAACACUUGUAUGUGACCAAUACAGUUAGAUUUUUUUUUUUUUAAAUAAACACUUUGAAAUUUGACAUUAGGAGAAUGUGUUAAUUCUGCAGUGAGACGGAGCUUGUUGGGUCUACUCUCCCACAUCCUCUUCAGUACGCAGACUGCACCACCUGCUGGUGUGAGGGUACCAUGGUCCUGGUAACAGUUGACGAUCGUUUCAAUAGUAUCAUCAGAAUGAUAUCACAAGGUUAAUUAAUAAGAGACUAACACAUUAAGGAUUUUGGAAAGUAGGACUUAUUUAAUGUAAUUAUUGCAAAGGUUUUUAAAAAAAAAACAUUUUUUUUUAAAGUGAUGCUCAGUGAGAGAAAAACAAAUGAUGUAGAAAUCCAUUCAAUUAUCAACAACACUUUAUAAGACAGCCCUCUCUGGGCAUGGAAAUGGUUGUUAAGUAUUUACCACCAUAGAUAGAAUGUACAAAAUAAUAUCACUUAAUUUCCAAAACAAUUCAAAGAAUUCAAUCCUUUUUGUUUCAAUAUGAACCCUUUUCUUUUACAGGUUAAUAUGUUUAGGCCCGGUCCCAGAUCUGGUCUCCCCCACAGCCCGGUCCCAGAUCCCUGGUCUCCUACAACCCGGUCCCAGAUCCCUGGUCUCCUACAGCCCGGUCCCUGAUCUGUGGUCUCCUACAACCCGGUCCCUGAUCUGUGGUCUCCUACAACCCGGUCCCUGGUCUCCUACAGCCCGGUCCCUGAUCUGCGGCUUACAGGCCCGGCACCGCAGGCUAGUUUAACAUUAUAAAAAAGGUUCUGUCAGUAACAUAAAGCAAUAGGAGAAAUAAGAACCCUAAAAUGCAAUUCUUCAAACCAAUCCUGCACCAGCAGUACUAAGCAAGAUGAUUGGAUGGGAGGAUAGGAAGAUGUACUGAGCAACACUAACCUAAGAGCAAGUGCACAGGAAGCCACACUAGUAAACACAGCAGGAUAUCAAUGAAGUGCACAGGAAGCCACACUAGUAAACACAGCAGGAUAUCAAUGAAGUGCACAGGAAGCCACACUAGUAAACACAGCAGGAUAUCAAUGAAGUGCACAGGAAGG
ensembl:lncRNA